rnacentral:rRNA from 1 species
AACAGGGAUUGCCUUAGUAACGGCGAGUGAAGCGGCAACAGCUCAAAUUUGAAAGCUGGCCCUUUUAGGGUCCGCGUUGUAAUUUGUAGAGGAUGAUUCGGCGAGGGCUCCUGCCUAAGUCCCCUGGAACGGGGCGUCAUAGAGGGUGAGAAUCCCGUAUGCGGUAGGUUGCCUUAGCCAUGUGAAUCUCCUUCGACGAGUCGAGUUGUUUGGGAAUGCAGCUCUAAAUGGGAGGUAAAUUUCUUCUAAAGCUAAAUACUGGCCAGAGACCGAUAGCGCACAAGUAGAGUGAUCGAAAGAUGAAAAGCACUUUGGAAAGAGAGUUAAAAAGUACGUGAAAUUGUUGAAAGGGAAGCGCUUGCAACCAGACUUGUCCGCAGUUGCUCAGCCGGUCUCCUGACCGGCGUACUCUUCUGCGGCCAGGCCAGCAUCAGUUCGGGCGGUCGGAUAAAGGCCUCGGGAAUGUAGCUCCUCUCGGGGAGUGUUAUAGCCCGGGGUGGAAUGCGACCAGCCUGGACUGAGGAUCUCGCUUUGGCAAGGAUGCUGGCGUAAUGGUUGUAAGCGGCCCGUCUUGAAACACGGACCAAGGAGUCUAACAUCUAUGCGAGUGUUCGGGUGUCAAACCCGUACGCGUAAUGAAAGUGAACGGAGGUGGGAACCCGCAAGGGUGCACCAUCGGCCGAUCCUGAUGUCUUCGGAUGGAUUUGAGCAAGAGCAUAGCUGUUGGGACCCGAAAGAUGGUGAACUAUGCCUGAAUAGGGUGAAGCCAGAGGAAACUCUGGUGGAGGCUCGCAGCGGUUCUGACGUGCAAAUCGAUCGUCAAAUUUGGGUAUAGGGGCGAAAGACUAAUCGAACCAUCUAGUAGCU